rnacentral:rRNA from 1 species
GACGAACGCUGGCGGCGUGCUUAACACAUGCAAGUCGAACGCUGAAGCCCUUUCGGGGGUGGAUGAGUGGCGAACGGGUGAGUAACACGUGGGUAAUCUGCCCUGUACUUCGGGAUAAGCCUUAGAAACGGGGUCUAAUACCGGAUAGGACCUGUCCUCGCAUGGGGGUGGGUGGAAAGUUCCGGCGGUAUGGGAUGAGCCCGCGGCCUAUCAGCUUGUUGGUGGGGUAGUGGCCUACCAAGGCGACGACGGGUAGCCGGCCUGGGAGGGUGACCGGUCACACUGGGACUGAGACACGGCCCAGACUCCUACGGGAGGCAGCAGUGGGGAAUCUUGCGCAAUGGGCGAAAGCCUGACGCAGCAACGCCGCGUGGGGGAUGACGGCCUUCGGGUUGUAAACCUCUUUCGACAUCGACGAAGGGGCCCUGUUGUGGGGUUUUGACGGUAGGUGUAGAAGAAGCACCGGCUAACUACGUGCCAGCAGCCGCGGUAA